rnacentral:lncRNA from 10 species
CAGCGGUUCUAAGUGUGAGCCCCAGCUCUGCAACCUACCAACCUAUUUGGGACUCUCCACUUCUCAUCUGAAAAUGCAUAGGCCAGAAAUAGCUGCUGCCCUGUCUGCUGUUAUCAUCUCAGUCAGUGAACAAGUGUGUGGGGAUCAUCAGUCUGUACCAGGUACCCCUGUAGACAUGGGACUGGCAUUGUGCGUUCAGACAUGGGCCCUGACUGCACGUCUCACAUCCCAGUGGCGAGGAGACAGACAGCAAACAGGACAAUGAGCUCCAAGCAAGGAUGGUGCAGGAAGAGCUCAGGACGGAUCUUGCCACCUCCAUCUUAGCCAGAGGGUUUUCCUGAGCUCAGGAGCCAAGCUUCUCAGACCCAUUCUUGCACACUGCAAAUUUCUAAUCCAUUGCUAAGGGCCACUAAUCCCAAACUGAAUUUAGAGAAACAAACAGGAAUAGAUGCUUUUUAAAAUACUUACCAACAUUCAUAUUUCUUCUCUGAUUUUGAAAAACAUAAUUAAUAAUAAAACACUUGGGAUCAUGCAGCAAAGAUACUUUAUGGGAAUAUUUAUUAUGCAAAUAACUAAAUUAAUUGCAUACAUUUGCAUCCUAUUAAGCAUUGAAAAGUAAAGCAGCUUUAAUAGAAUUAAAUCUACUUUUACCAAAAUGAUCUCAUCUGGCAGGAAGAGUUAGGGCAAGAUUGGUUUGGAUUGAGAUUUUCCAUCCUGCUUAGGAAUUCUAAAGUUCUAUAGAAUGAAAGUUUUUCUUGAUAAUAAUUUUUAAAUCAUAAAAAUGAAAGAAAUGUUAUUAGAAGUCCUACGAUUUCACCACCAACUUCAAUGCCCUAAUGUGGCUAUCCAUACUGCUUUUCCAAUAUCUUCCAAACGUCGAUUAUGGAUUUAUAUAAGUUUUUUCUACUAAAUUAUGUCUUACAGACAUUAUUGAAACAGUAUACUUGCUAAACAUCUGUGAAUUUUGUGUAAGAGUAAGGUCCCAAGAUUUUCUAAAGUUUGAAAGACAGUCAUGCUCUGGAGUCACCCUCUGGGCUCGAUGCGAUGGUGCCCAACGAAUACCUCCAGCCUGCUGGGGCUGGAGCUCCUGUCUCAGUCUAACCCUGCCCAGUAAGGAGCUGACUCAGCCCACACUGCUCAGGAGGCCCUGGGGCCCUCUGGGCUUGCAGGUAUUCCUGCCCUCAGCUGGGGCCAGCCCAGGCUUCGGUGAUGCGGUUUCCUCUUCAGAGGGCACUCUCGGGCCUCUCUCAGGACGUCUCCACCCCACACACGCUGCUGCCCACACCUCCUUUCAGGGAAGGGGCGCAGAUACCUCCCAUCUUCUUUCCUACACCUCAGCUUUGCUCCCUUCCCCUUUUACUCUGCACACCAUGGCAAUUUUCACCCCUUUUUGGACAAAAAUUUCCUGACAGGACUUAACCUCCCUGGCACUUAAAAUCUGAACUCUAACCUAUGUUAUUUGCAACAGAAAGAAAAGUGCUUUUAUCUGUCCUUUCAGGUAAAUUAUUUAUUUAUGUUUUUCUUUAUAGCGCCACCGUUCAGAUUUGCUGGAUUUGGAGACAAAAUCCAGGUUUGAAUUGUGAUUCUAUUUCUUACUGCUCCGUGGCCUGGGGCAGCCAGGUCAGCUCUCUGAGCCCUGUGGUCUGCAUGGCUGAGUGAGAAUGCCCACCUCCACUGAGAACCAGCCAGUGAGGUGCCAGCAACCCAUCUAACACAGGCAAAGAGGAUUUCUUAAUGAAAACAUUUUGUCUUGCACAAAACAAUACUCAAUUUAAGAAACAGCAAAUGCAGAAAAGGAAAAAGAGGAUUAGAAAACUAUAGAAAGAGCUCAGUGCAUGGCAAGAGUUUAAUGAAUAUUAGUUCUUCCCAUUUAGUUUUGCUUUCCAACCCACUAAGCAUGCUUCGAAAGACAGAGAAGAAAGAGGGGUUACAGCAAAAGCAGUGAUAAGAGUUUCUUGCAUCUUCACAGAUCAAGCAUCUUGGUCUGCAACCAGGUUUGUCUGAACAAAGGGUUAGGAGCCAAAGUUUGGGGUGGUGAAAGCCAUGGGGCCCAUGUUAGGCUGAGGACAAGUGUGCAUAUGGGUGGCAGGUGGCUUUGCCCAGAAUGAACUGGAGGGUGACGAUCCUGGAUCUGGCAGUGAAGCGGCAGUGUCUCUGCUCAGCCGGAGCGGGAGGUGUGGAGCCACUUCGUCACACUCUCAGCUGCACGGCUUUGGGCCACAGCCUGUAGACACCGGUGGAAUCUGCUCAGAGCUUUGAAGAGAGGAUUCCCAGAGCCAAGCUAUGGAUGGGACUAGGAAGCGAGUGACCAAGAACAGCUGCUCUUCACCUCCACGGGCAGGGUGGGGCGGGGUGGGAGGUGAGCUUUGCCGAAAGCCAGGCUGAAGGUGAUGCAAUGACCGCACCAUGGCCAGGAGCAGAACCACACGUUCUUUUUGGUUUCUGUGUAACUCUUGCCAAAUUUACAAUAAACCCUGCAAAUCUGCUGGAGCCUCUCUCUUUCUUUCCCAACCUUUGCAAGGACCUGUCUUGAAACUCCUUGCCUGAUUCCCCGCUUCUUGUUUUUCCCUGUUCCUCCUGCUCCCUUUUUCUUUUCAGCUUUCUCUCCAAUCAUGUUCCUGUCUAUUCUUUUUCUUUUUGCUACCCUGCAUGGUGAAUAUUUGCUAUUUUCCUGCUCAGCAGAACCUGCUCUCCCCACUCUCAGCCCGUGAGUGGGUGGGUGGGGCUGACCUUAGCACCUGGUGAUGUCACUUGAGAACCUAGUUGGCUGGGCCCAGACUUAUUAGGUGGUCAAGUCAAUAAAUGCCCAUUAUCAUGUUUAAGCUGCUUGUGGCUGGGUUUUCCUGCUUGGCACCAAGAGGCCUGAGUCAUUUGCAUCCUCGGGACCGGCCCCUGCCCCAUCUCCAGCUUACACCUCACCCCAUUCCCACCCCUAAACUACAGUCAGGCCGAGGUGCUGACAGGCUGCCCCUGUGCCACGCCACUGCUGCCCCUCAGUAGGUCCCUGCCCUCCUGGCACUUCUUGGUGUCAUGGUUUUCUGAGCCACAAUGCUGUUCUAAUUGUGAGGCAGUGGCAUCUGCCUGGCUUCCUCCCCAGCCCCAGCCCCUGCCAUGGGGACUCUGCCUGAGCUCUGAGGGCAGGUGGGGCACCCUGCUCCUGGCACAGGCACUAUUUCCACCUCUCUUCUUCAUUGCUAUCCGGCUUUCCCUUGCUUUUAUCCCCUCCCCUUCUCCUGCUUCCCACUGGUCAACUCUUCUCCCAGGGCCUCCCAGGGCCUAGGUCUGAGCAGUGGAGACCUCCAUGAGCAGGCAGAGGGCAACCAGGCAGGCUCCAUCCAGAAGAGAACAGGCCUGGACCAGAUGCAGAUUCUCCCAGGCUCUGCAGGGCCUGGCAGGGAAACUGCUGCUCCUGAGCUGCCUUCAGGGGAGUCCUCAGAAUAAGGGGAGCUAUCAACAGGCAGAGCAGUGUUUACGAGGACAGUUAUGAUCUUGUCACUGUCCUCAAGGAGCUUCAGGUCCAGGAAAGAAAAAUGAGCCACCUGUGAAGCAGAAUUGUGUAAUCACCUGGCGAGCAGGGAGGAGCCCCCCAGACACCACAAAGACAGGGAGCACUGGGAGGGAGAAGCGGGGCCAGGCUGGGGAGACCUGCAGAAUGGGGCGGGGCUUCUGGUUUCAAUGUUUACUUGCUGAGUGGCCUUGGACAAGUUAUUUCAUCUGCCUGAGCCUUACUUUCCUCAUCUGUAACAUGAAAAUGCCAAAUAUACCAGCACCUGGAUUGCCACGAGGAUGAGGUGAUUACAAUGCGUAUGGUCCUGAAACAGUGGUGUCCCUCUCCCCACCCUGCCAUUACCCAACCUCUGGUCUUCAAAUCGACCCUAUAAGGUAGGUAUUUUUACGUUCGCUUUGCAGAUGAGAAAACCAAAGCUCUGUGUAAUGACACAUCCCGGAAAUGUGAGGACAGGUUUCAAAUCCAGGUGUGUCUGGUCAAACCUGAGCGUUCCCUCCAGCCCUGCUGCCCCCUUUCUGCAUGUGAUCUUGGCUGGGGUCAGUGUCUGGCAAGCACACUGUCUGGCUGGCUCAGGCCUUUUGCCCCAGCUGUGGCCUUCACCCCCAACUAAUUAACUAACUGACAAGCUGUUUAUGAAGCUGCACUCCUGGUGACGUUGUUGGUGGCUGUGAUAAUCAUCCUGUUUUUCCACUUAUUCAGCCACCUUCUGAAGGGUCCUUUUAUGGGACCCUUUUAUGGAUUAUCAUUGUUCUGGGCAGUUUAUUAUGCAAAUGAAGCCUCAAAGUGCUCGAUGCUGUCUGCUGAAAUGUGCUUUAUAAGAUAAUACAUUUUUUUCCACAAACCAAAAUAAACUAGUGUAAAUGACAAUGGAACGAGAAAAGCUUUGCUCUUUAUAAAAAGGGCCGUGUGAGAUUCUUUGAAACUGAACGCCGGCGGAGUCUGACUCUGACCCUGGAUGAAGAGAUGCUGCUCUUUUAAGCGAGGGAUUUCUUUUCGGAAGAGGCUUUGUGAGCAUGGAACAGCGAAGCCCGGGAUGGGAACCAAGAAAGGUCACCGAAAUGUAGACACCCUGGCCUCAGUCUCUGGAGUUCAAAAAGGCUGCGGUCAAUUGUUGGAAUUUCUUUUCACAUGAAGAAAUCUACAUUCUGUGUAAAUAAAC